ACCCAAGAAGGAACCAAUUAAUCCAAAUAAUAAUAAUAAUAAUUAAAAUUUGACAGGCCUCGGGAGGCUGAAAUGAGCGCAGAAGUGCAGAGCCUGUGUUCUGUGUGUGACCAAGGACUCGCCAGAGCCCAUGACGGGAGUGUCGGGCUGGCUCCCAGACACAGAAUUAUGGAGCGAGAUCGAAUUUUCUGCAUUGAGGAUCUCUCAUUACAUUUGUUGGUGCAAGUUAAAAUACCUCUUCACGCCUGUGUCAUACGAGAACAAAAACAGAAUCGCCUAGAAUGCUGUGAAGAGGGUAGACUACUCAGGGUGUCCUUGUAGCCGUCUACACAAAGCAAAAUGGAUCUGAGAGGUUUUUUUUUUUUUUUUCACAUGAAGUGUUUGCACAGAGACCUGGGAUUUCCGUGGUUGUACACAGAAGGACAAACCUAACAACAGGAACAGUUUAGGGAAUCUGUGUGUUUUGUUGCUGUGGCUUCUCCUGUAUCCUUUUCCCAUUUUUUUUAAAACUGUAGCUGUUUCUCUGUAUAAACUAUUUGUAUGAAAAUAAAAAUGUCGAAUCUUUUCCAAAAAUGUAACUUUAAUGUGAGCUGCCACGUUGCUUUUGCUGCGAUUGCUGGUGACUGCCUUCUGUCGCAGAUAGCACUGUGUACAUGUAAUUCUUAAGGAUGGAAGGGGCAAGUGGAUCUUUUCCUACAAGGCUAUCCUCUGUGUGCUGGCACAGCCAUUUGCAAAAUUUUGUGUGUGCCUGUGCAAAAGAGAGACACCCACGUACCAUUAUUCCAAACAAUUAAACCCCAACAGCACAAGAACGUGGGGCCCUGGCUCAAUCUUUCCUUGCAGUGAUUGCCUGAGCAAUCACCUUUGAUCAGGGAAGAGCUGGAGGAGAAAGUCCCGCAAGUGACAACCCUCACAUAAAUGUAUACAUUUACAUACAUGGGGCAGCUGUGGAGGGCUCUGCAGCUCCCCCCCCGCCCCCCGCCGUCUAUGACCUGAAACCAUUGUAACUCUGCUGACACCUCAUUUAAUUGAAUCCUUCCCUAGCAGUGCAGAAGCCGAAAGGGGGAGGGACACGGACGGAUGGGUAAUCAAGGCAGUCUCUUCUGCCCGAAUGUCUAGAAAUGGCAGGGUAGUAAUUGCUUUUGAAAAGCAAAAGCAGAAAUAGGACAGAUUUGUUCUGUUUAGCAAGAUUUAAAAAAAAGGGGGGGGGGAUGUAUGUAAAUAUACAGCCCCUGCAACUUUCCAAAAUACUUACCCCAAGAAUAAAACUGAUUUGAAUUUCUGUGCAAAUAGGAAUAAAACGGAUUUUAUUAGAGAAGAAGGAAAAAAAAAUCCUAAGAGCGGGGCGGGGGGGAAACAUCCAGAAAUUUUCCUAGUUCAAAAUGGCCUGAGACAAUAGAAAGAGAUUCAGAGCCCAGAGCCACAGCACGGCCCCUUUUGUCAGCUUCAAAUCAGCCAGCCAGAGGGUCGAGUCAGUUUAACCUGCCUCUGUGACACAUCACCCGCCCGCCUGACCCGAGAUCAGCCUCAUUUUUAUGGAUGCAGAGGCUCAUGGCGUGAUUCAUUCCCGGGCACACCCCGCUCAUUCCGCUGUCUGCCUCCGCCACAAAGACACACAAUCUGCAGAGCUGCUUCUGAGCUCUUCUGGCCAGCCAGCUAAGCAGUGCUCGUCUGCAUGGUUGGUAGAGACGAAUGAGAAUCUGGUCAGCACUUCACCAACUGAGCUGCCUCCAUUGCCCGAGAAGGAAAAUUUGGAAGAAAUUAUAUAAGGCAAGUUCACUAAAAUGGAGGGGAAAAAAAAUCUGCCUGAUAGUCAAGAUCUGAAGGAUGGAGCUGAUUUCAAAGUAAUGAGAAUUUCCUAACCUCCCAAGCUCAGAGAACACUGCAGAAGAGUGGGCGAGAAGAAUGUAUGACUGGCAGAUGAGGAGGAGGUCUGUGUGAAAUGCUAACUUCUGGGUAUGGCGUGGUCGUUACGCAGUUGGCUCAUCACAACUGGGAUUACCUGGGCAGCGUCGAGUCAGUCGGAGUUUGCAGUUUUGUUCUCCGAUGUGCGUGGUGAAGUCUGAAAAAUAUCACCAGAAACAUAAGCAAGGUUUUCCUUUAGCUUUGACUGUAUCCAUAAGCUGAAGAAAGUCCUGGGUUUGGGCAGAAUAAUUUUAUGUGAGUUUUGUUUUAGGAACUAAAUAUCUGUUUACCUUUGCCACAAACUCAGAUAGUGAAGCCUUAAUCCCUGUGUGGUUGGUCACUGGAAGACAGGGCCUCUAGAAGGAAGUAGGGUUUACAUGAGGCCAUGACAGAAUGCUGGGAUUUGUGUCCUUAUAAAAAGAGAAUCGGGAGGCUGGCUGGUUCUUGCCAAACAUGCACUCAUCCAGGACAGGUCGUGUCAGAUCACUGUGCUGAAGACAGUGAUCUUUAAGCCAGGAUGACUGUCGACUUCUACCCUCCAGGAGCAGGAGAAAAUACAGUUUUCCUGUUGUAGCUCCCUAGCCUACAGCACUGUGUUAGGACAGCCAAAGCAGACUGACUAUUGGAAAUGCUUUGGGCAGCAAGUAACAGAAAACACAAUUUGUGUUUGUUAAGUGGACAGUAAAUAAAGGGGUAUUAUAAGUUGCUAAUGGAGAGAUGUUAAGAAUUCUCAGCAAAUAAUGACGAUAAAUUCAAAACUCUCUUACCCUUCUAUUUUGUCACUGUUGCCUUGUUAGUUUCUGACCUUGUGUUUGUCCCUUUAUAAAUGGCUGGUAAAACAGCCCUUUAGAAAAGGAGACAAGAUAAAAUGGGUGGAGUCUCCUUAUAAGGAAGUAAACUUCUCUCCAGUAGCCCCCUCGUAAACAUACCAUAAAUAUCAUCAACAGAGCCGAUGUUACAUGGCCGCUUUUGCUCCAAGCUCAACAGCAAACAAAGGAGAAUGAGCUUGCCAGCCGGGUUUAGGAUAAUGGUGGUCCAUUCCCUGAGGCAGCCACAUCAUCACUUAAAUAAAACAAGGCACAGCAGCUCUAACUGCUGGGUAGCCAUGGAAAAGUAUCUGCCACAUCUCUGUUUCUUAGCUGCUACAUUAUCCAUAGGCGCCUUCAUCCUUCUCUUAGUCCACUUGGGUUACUAUGACAAAGUACCAUAAACUGAGUAGCUUAUGAGCAACAGGAGUUUACUUCUCCCAGUUUCAGAGGUUGAGAAACCUAAGACCAAUGCACCAGCAGACUCUGUCUGUCCAUAGACGAUGCCAUCUCACUGAAUCCCCACAUGGAGUAACAGGAAGAAGGGGACACUCCUUGAGAAUCUCUUUUAUUAGGAUGUCAAGCCCUCUCCUGACCUAGUCAUGACUUGUCACUUCCAAGGGCUCUAGCCCUAAUACCAUCACAUUGGUGUUUAGGUUUCAACCUGUGAAUUUAGUGAUGUAAAUGUCCGAUCUACAACAUGACUUCCUGGUCUAUCCCAAGAUAUUCUAAGUAGAAAGUGGACCCUUGCCAGAAUGCAAUCGCUCUACGGUGGGUGAUGUGAUACCUAUUACCCCAUCAUACCUAAGACACACUCAGCAAGGGAAAAAGUCACUAGAAAUGUUUCCUUAGACAUUUAGCAACCAUGACAGAGCCUGAAAAGUCUUACCCACUGGUUGUAUACAUUAAAAUAACACAAGUAUUUUAAAAGAUGUUUUUUAAAAGUAUGUACAAAUGUGUUAGAGAGCAUGUGGAUUUACACAUGUGAGUACAGUGUCCAUGGAGACCAGAAGAGGGAGUUAGAUUCCUGAGAGUUAACAAGCAGUUGUGUGCUAUCCUAUGUGGAUGCUGGAACCACAAACUCUGGUUCUCUGAAUGCACAGUACAUGCUAUUGACUGUUGAGCCCUCUCUCCAACCCUAAUCUAGGAUUGCCUAAAAGACACUAUUGUUUAAAACCAGACUAGCUCAGUCAGAAUCUUUGUGUGGGGGCCCCAGCAUCAGUAAGGAUACUCAUCAAACAUGAUUCAAACAUUGAUCCAGGGAUGGGAACAACUAUAAGAAGGAUUUAUAUGGGAAACAAAGAUCCUAGCCUUUAUCCUCCUGGAAGACUCUCAAGACAUUUUCUCAGUGUUACUCGUGUUUAUAUUUACCUUUUAAUACAUUGCUUAUGUGUGCACUAUGCACAUGUAACUCUGUGAGAAAGGCUGUGGAUGUGUGUAUGGAGACGUUGUAAGCAGCUUCCACCUGAAGAACAUUCAUGCUCUUUGGAGUAAAUCAGUAAAGUGUUGGAAUACUAAAUGUGUGUUGCCAGAUGAGCAUGGAACGGGGUGGUCAGUAAAGGCCCCAUACAAGUGUUAGGAAAGUUUGACUAGACCACUGUGAAGGAGAUAUUGCAACAUGGUGUGUCUGGGAUGGACCUAAGUUAAUUAGUUCUCAUGGGGAGCAGAAAAUAAGACGAGAAGCUGCAAAGGAACAUAGCAGCUGAGAGGCUGCCGUGGUGAAAGCAGCCUAUAUAGGUUGGCAGGAAAAAUCAGGGAAGGCCUCAGCUGAGGCUGGGGAAUGAAGAGUAGGGAAACAUUCAGUAGGUAGUCAUGAAUAUGGGAGUUUGCACAGGACCGGGUUGUGUCUGUGGCAAAGUUGGUUGUAGACUCUGGGAAGAUGGCCACAGGCAGAAAACUAGAAGCCAGUCAUUUACACAUGCCCUUGGCAGCCAUCAUUGUUCCGUGUCUCUGCUGGAAUGUAAGCCCUUGACACAAGCCCUCCUACAUCUAUUCAUGAAUGAGCAAACAUUUAUCCAUCACCUAGUAGGGCCCAAGCACAGUAACACGGCAGCAAAUAAACUAAAGCCAGAGGAGACAAUGAGCAUAAAAAAGACCAUUUCUGGGACAUGUUAAGUUCAGCGAUGACAACAGGAUAUAGGACAAUGUUCAUAAGUGUAGAGUUAGUUGGGUUCCUGUUGGAUAUGGUUUCCAGCAUCAGGAGGUGGUGGUGGCUAUUGGGGAAUGAGCAUUCCAAUCAAAGCAUCAGCAAGGGCAAAGACCCCGGGAAGAGACUGAGUUGACAGAUCCAGCGUGGAGUACAGCUUAGGGAUGGAGAGGGAGAAGAGGCACGCCCCCAGCUCUCUAUUGGGUUAUCUCACAAGGUGCUGCUAGGCAGCAAUGAAUAAGUUGGAUUAUUCCCACGUGGAAACCGCAUGAGGUCACACAGGAAGAAAGAGUCUUUAGGCUUCUCAUAGGAAGUGGGGUUUCUUUUGCUUGUAGUAUUGGACUCCUCUCUGGUGUUUAUUAUGAGGACGGAAUCAUCCGGUUUGUCUUAUGUAUUUCCCCAUCUCUUUGUGUCAGACAGGGAGGACCACUAAAGGAUGGUGAUCUGGCCCACUUUUGACUCUCCCACAUCUGAGCCAAAGCCCUGCUCGCUAGCAUCCACUUAAAUAUUUGGUGAACAGAUAUGCCUAUGAUAAAUAUCUAGCACCUGGGCCCACACAGUUUCAAAAAGAAACACAAGAAGUUACUCGAGAAACGAAACACAGAGCUAACAGAUACUCCAUCCAUCCAACUCUUGAUGGGACAUGAAAGACAACUGGAAGCCGGUGUCCAGGUGGAGGUGUAUGGGUGCUUAUGGGUAUUCAGAACAGCCGCAAGUUAGAGACACUCAAACAUCAACUGAUGCAUGAACAAACAAAGUGUGGGUCAUCUCCCCAGUGGACUCCUGGGCUGUCACAAAGAGCAAUGACAUCCUGAUGCACGGUUAUAACAUAGACAAUCCUCCAAAACCCCGUGCUAAGUGGAGUGAUCCGGAUGCCACAGAUCACAUGUGUGAUUCAGUUUCUCUGUAAAGCCCUAACUCACAGAAAGGAACUGGGGGAGGUCAGGGUGGAAGGGUGCAUACUUAAUAGGCUCAAGGUUGCCUUUGGGAGCAGGUGUGGAUGUUUUAAAGCCAGAUAGGCAAUAGAUGGGAAAUACCAUGAGUACAUAAGUGCCAUGAAAUUAGACACGGGUUAAUUUUGUGUUAUGUGAGUAUCAGUUCAAUAAGAGAGUAGGGAGACAGACUUAAUUCUGUUUGGAUAGAGAAAGGGAAGGUUAGAUGGACCAUUCACCGGCUGUAAAGAGAUCACGUGUGUCUUUGAAGACAGAAAGUGAAAAGGCCGUGCAGAUGCCAGUGAACUCUCUUGAGUCUUCCCGGGUCUCAGAAGUACGAGACACUUUUAUGUGUGUAAAAUACAUAUAUAUGUACAUUCAGUCUACUCCCCAUAUUUACACAGUGUACUAUGCAUGCUAUUCCAGACCUUUUAUGUGCUUUCUGGUGUUGUUUUAUGAUAUAUCACACUCACAGAUAUGAUGGUCUUUCUGGAUCUCUCCCGUCAUGUGUUUUGUCUCCUUGCAAAUUAAAAAGAAAGGAUUUCUAUGUAGAAAAGUCCAUAGUGUCUCUACAGCUCCAUACUUUACCAUUGCAUGGACAGAGCAUCAUUUCUUUAGCUAGUCUCCGACUGAUGGACCCUUAGGUACCUUCUGAUCCUCUUUGAUUACAAAGCUUCAAUGUAUAGCCAUUUGCAUGUGCCAUUCCAUAAGUGUGCAGGUCUGUCUGUAGAAUUAAUUCACAGAACUGGACUCACUAGGUCAAAGGGCAUCUGGAUGUUAUUUUCAUGAGUCUUGGAAAAGUUGUGUCCCCUAGAGUUUAUGCUGGGUUUUAUUUCAACCAGCAAUUCAUAAACACACACACAUACACAUAUACACAUACACACACAUUUUACCACACCUUAACAAGAUCAUUAUUUCAUCACUAAUUUGGGUAUUUGUUACUAUGUUAAAUAUAACAUACUAUCUCAGUGUGGAGUUUCUUUAUGUUUCGCUCACUAUAACCCGGUAUUGUUUCUUUGAAAGACAUCUUUGUCUGCUUCUGAUGCAUUGUCUGUGUCUGCUUAGCUUAUUGAACUUUCAUGCACUGACUUAUAGAAGCUUAUAUAUUACAGGAAUUGACUUUAUAUGAAUUAUGAUUUUCCAGUUUGUCAUCUCGCUUUGCUUUGCUCCUAAUAAUUUUGCCAUAUGGAACGUGCUUUGUCUUUCUUAUUGUUAAUCUGCAAAUCCAUGUAACACCUAGGUCCUGUGUCACAUUUAGAAAGGACUCCACUCCCUUCAAGGUCACUCGUUUGAACUCUCUGUGACUUCUACCAACUUUCUGGCUUUCUUGGUGCAUUGCAAUUCAUGUGAAUUUAUUUCGGUACAUUUGAUAUAUCGUUCACUGUUGUUCCCCUUACUAAAUAAA